AUUCUACUCCCUCCGUUGCACAAUACAUGCCUUCUAUUUGUGAAAAUAUAUAUGUAUCUAGACAUGUCUUAGUAUAUAGGUACAUCCAUUUUUGGACAAAUGGAAGUCAAGUAUUUUGGAACGAAGGGAGUACACA
rnacentral:pre_miRNA from 1 species